CUAAAAUCUCAUUCCCAUUUCCCAGCCGCCAGCCACUCUGAAUCUCUCACUCUCUGUCUCUGUCUCUCUCACUUCCUCUUCCUCAAUCCUCUCUUUCCAACUCCAGCACUUGUCUUCAGAAUAAAGCUUAGCACCCUCUCAUGGCGGCAGUGGACUCCACUCGGGCCUUCGUCAAGGGCGUCAAGCGUAUCGUCAUCAAAGUAGGGACUGCUGUUGUGACUAGAAUUAAUGGAAGGUUGGCGCUUGGGAGGUUAGGAUCUCUCUGCGAGUAGGUCAAAGAACUGAAUUCUCGAGGAUUAGAUGUGAUUUUGGUAACAUCUGGUGCGGUGGGUGUUGGUCGACAGAGGCUCAGAUAACCAUCUUCACUCGUCAUUUCAAUAACUGAGAGAUGGCAGGACGAGGUAGACCCCGUACCAGGAGGGCUAGCCAGGCAGAGUCUCAUCAGCCAGCUCAGUCCGAG